GAUGAACGCUAGCGGCAGGCCUCAUACAUGCAAGUCGAGGGGCAGCAGGACACUUCGGUGUUGCUGGCGACCGGCGAACGGGUGCGUAACACGUAUGCAAUCUGCCUUGUACUAGGGCAUAGCUCUCGGAAACGAGGAUUAAUUCCCCAUAUACUCUUAACAGCGCAUGCUGAUAAGAGGAAAGCUCCGGCGGUACAAGAUGAGCAUGCGUCCCAUUAGCUAGUUGGUAAGGUAACGGCUUACCAAGGCUGCGAUGGGUAGGGGUUCUGAGAGGAAGAUCCCCCACGCUGGCACUGAGACACGGGCCAGACUCCUACGGGAGGCAGCAGUAGGGAAUAUUGGUCAAUGGGCGAAAGCCUGAACCAGCCAUGCCGCGUGCAGGAUGAAGGCCCUCAGGGUUGUAAACUGCUUUUGUACGGGAACAAAAAGCUCCUGCGGGAGCCAUUGAGGGUACCGUAAGAAUAAGCACCGGCUAACUCCGUGCCAGCCGCCGCCGUAAAAC
rnacentral:rRNA from 1 species